AUGGACCCUAAGAAAGCUUAGGGAUAGUCCUGACUUUUUAAGGGUCAGACCAUGGUCUAGGAUGUGUGGAAGAGACGUGGAUGUUGGACAGAUUUGUUGGGACAUGAACCAAAUCUGAAACCUCAACCAUUUCUGCAGGUAUGUGUGUCAUGUGGAGGACUUCUUACUGUGGAAUAGAACCUCUUGUAUUUCCCUGGAGCAGGAGCUCUCUAGCUGCUGGAACCACCUUUGAGGAGCCAUGCUUUGAGGCAGAGAAUCCCCAGGUUGGGAUGCAGAGUAUGCCCUUUGUCCUGUGAGAGGAGUAGGACCUUCAGAAGUAGAGGAAAUGGAGGGAAGAUGUAAAGAAGAUCCCCGUCCCAUGGGAAAAGAAGGGCAUUGCCCAGGGAGUGCUGUUCCAUCCCCGCCCUGGAGCAGUAGCAUGGACAUUUCUUGUUCUGAUUCCCAGCAACCUGACGGUAGCCCUGGAAUCCUUCAGCGUAUGAAGGGAAGUGUUGGUCUUUUCGGCAAAGAGCUUUGUGCCCUUGAAGUGAAGAUCUUCCACUGUAGACUGAACCUCUUUCGGGAAUCCCGACAAGUGGAGUCACGAUGCCCAUCACAGCA